AGUAGGUGAACAUCAUAAAUUUAAAUCAUGAAUAAGAAAUACAUGUAUAUAAAAUAUUGACUACAAAAGAGAUUAUCAUUGCGGUGUAUCUCUUACAGAGGUGAUGUGGAUAGGGCUAUAAGAAUCAAAGUGUACUUAAAAUUCCUUUUUUUCCUCCACAGUAUCGCAGUACCAUUGCUGACAAGUCAUCUGAACAGACAGCCAAAAUUGUUACUUUUCAACUAUUCAGAAAUGUUCGAGUCAACGAAAACAAAGAACAGAAAUGGUGGAAGGAAUCUAAAGAACUGGAUACAGGUGGACUUGUCUGCUGUGUGUUCACAGAUGUAUUCACUGACUAGUACUGCAAAUGCUCCACCUAUAAACCUUGCAGAAGAUACCACAAUUGUCGUAGGUCUUAACAGCAAGCCAACUUCAUAAAUGUUACAUCCACACACGUAUCAUAUAUUCAUGCUGCUGAGAGAAGAAAAAAGAGCAAUGCGUUAGUGAAGAAUAAAAAAGAUC
rnacentral:lncRNA from 1 species